GAUUGAACGCUGGCGGUAUGCUUAACACAUGCAAGUCGAACGGAAACGAUACUAGCUUGCUAGUAGGCGUCGAGUGGCGGACGGGUGAGUAACGCGUAGGAAUCUGCCUGAUAGUGGGGGAUAGCCCGAAGAAAUUCGGAUUAAUACCGCAUAAUCUAUUCGUAGUAAAGUGGGGGACUUUCGAGCCUCACGCUAUCAGAUGAGCCUGCGUAAGAUUAGCUUGUUGGUAGGGUAAAAGCCUACCAAGGCGACGAUCUUUAGCUGGUCUGAGAGGAUGAUCAGCCACAUCGGGACUGAGACACGGCCCGAACUCCUACGGGAGGCAGCAGUGGGGAAUAUUGGACAAUGGGGGCAACCCUGAUCCAGCAAUACCGCGUGUGUGAAGAAGGCCUGAGGGUUGUAAAGCACUUUCAAUUGUGAAGAAAAGUUAGCGGUUAAUAACCGUUAGCCUUGACGUUAACUUUAGAAGAAGCACCGGCUAACUCCGUGCCAGCAGCCGCGGUAAUACGGAGGGUGCAAGCGUUAAUCGGAAUUACUGGGCGUAAAGCGUGUGUAGGCGGUUUAUUAAGUCAGAUGUGAAAGCCCCGGGCUUAACCUGGGAACUGCAUUUGAAACUGGUCAACUAGAGUAUGGUAGAGGAAAGUGGAAUUUCUGGUGUAGCGGUGAAAUGCGUAGAUAUCAGAAAGGAACAUCAAUGGCGAAGGCAGCUUUCUGGACCAAUACUGACGCUGAGGUACGAAAGCGUGGGUAGCAAACAGGAUUAGAUACCCUGGUAGUCCACGCCGUAAACGAUGAUAACUAGCCGUUGGGGGGAUUUACCCUUUAGUGGCGAAGCUAACGCGUUAAGUUAUCCGCCUGGGGAGUACGGCCGCAAGGUUAAAACUCAAAGGAAUUGACGGGGACCCGCACAAGCGGUGGAGCAUGUGGUUUAAUUCGAUGCAACGCGAAGAACCUUACCUGGUCUUGACAUCCUGCGAACUUUCUAGAAAUAGAUUGGUGCCUUCGGGAACGCAGUGACAGGUGCUGCAUGGCUGUCGUCAGCUCGUGUCGUGAGAUGUUGGGUUAAGUCCCGUAACGAGCGCAACCCCUAUCCUUAUUUGCCAGCACAUCAUGGUGGGAACUAUAAGGAGACUGCCGGUGAUAAACCGGAAGAAGGCGGGGACGACGUCAAGUCAUCAUGGCCCUUACGACCAGGGCUACACACGUGCUACAAUGGGAAGGACAAAGAGCCGCGAAGCCGCGAGGUGUAGCUAAUCUCAUAAACCUUUUUGUAGUCCGGAUUGGAGUCUGCAACUCGACUCCAUGAAGUCGGAAUCGCUAGUAAUCGUAGAUCAGAAUGCUACGGUGAAUACGUUCCCGGGUCUUGUACACACCGC
rnacentral:rRNA from 1 species